GACGAACGNCUGGCGGCGCUUUCUAACACACGCAAGUCGAACGAGCGAGAGAGAGCUUGCUUUCUCAAGCGAGUGGUGAACGGGUGAGUAACGCGUGAGGAACCUGCCUCAAAGAGGGGGACAACAGUUGGAAACGACUGCUAAUACCGCAUAAGCCCACAGGUCGGCAUCGACCAGAGGGAAAAGGAGCAAUCCGCUUUGAGAUGGCCUCGCGUCCGAUUAGCUAGUUGGUGAGGUAACGGCCCACCAAGGCGACGAUCGGUAGCCGGACUGAGAGGUUGAACGGCCACAUUGGGACUGAGACACGGCCCAGACUCCUACGGGAGGCAGCAGUGGGGAAUAUUGCACAAUGGGGGAAACCCUGAUGCAGCGACGCCGCGUGGAGGAAGAAGGUCUUCGGAUUGUAAACUCCUGUUGUUGAGGAAGAUAAUGACGGUACUCAACAAGGAAGUGACGGCUAACUACGUGCCAGCAGCCGCGGUAAAACGUAGGUCACAAGCGUUGUCCGGAAUUACUGGGUGUAAAGGGAGCGCAGGCGGGAAGACAAGUUGGAAGUGAAAUCUAUGGGCUCAACCCAUAAACUGCUUUCAAAACUGUUUUUCUUGAGUAGUGCAGAGGUAGGCGGAAUUCCCGGUGUAGCGGUGGAAUGCGUAGAUAUCGGGAGGAACACCAGUGGCGAAGGCGGCCUACUGGGCACCAACUGACGCUGAGGCUCGAAAGUGUGGGUAGCAAACAGG
rnacentral:rRNA from 1 species